AUUAGAGGCACUGCCUGCCCUGUGACACACGUUUAACGGCCGCGGUACCCUGACCGUGCAAAGGUAGCAUAAUCACUUGUUCUUUAAAUAGGGACUAGCAUGAAUGGCAUCACGAGGGGCUAACUGUCUCUUACUUUUAACCAGUGAAAUUGGCCUGUCCGUGAAGAGACGGACAUGAAACAAUAAGACGAGAAGACCCUGUGGAGCUUCAAUUUAUCAGUACAACUAAAAACCACGCAGACCCACAGGUCCCUAAACCCUCAUACCUGUACUAAAAAUUUUGGUUGGGGUGACCUCGGAGCACAACCAAACCUCCGAAGAAUCCAUGCUAAGACUACACAAGCCUAAGCAAACUAACACCUACAAUUGACCCAAUAAUUUGAUCAACGGAACAAGUUACCCCAGGGAUAACAGCGCAAUUCUAUUCUAGAGUCCAUAUCGACAAUAGAGUUUACGACCUCGAUGUUGGAUCAGGACAUCCUAAUGGUGCAGCAGCUAUCAAGGGUUCGUUUGUUCAACG
rnacentral:rRNA from 1 species